rnacentral:rRNA from 1 species
GACGAACGCUGGCGGCGUGCUUAACACAUGCAAGUCGAACGGAAAGGCCCUGCUUUUGUGGGUUGCUCGAGUGGCGAACGGGUGAGUAACACGCGAGUAACCUGCCCUUGUCUUUGGGAUAACUUCAGGAAACUGGGGCUAAUACCGGAUAGGACCUCCUGCUGCACGGUGGGGGUUGGAAAGUUUCGGCGGUUGGGGCUGGACUCGCUGCUUAUGAGCUUGUUGGUGGGGUAGGGGCUUACCAAGGUUUUGACGGGUAGCCGACAUGAGAGGGUGACCGGCCACAUUGGGACUGCGAUACGGCCCAGACUCCUACGGGAGGCAGCAGUGGGGAAUAUUGCACAAUGGGCGGAAGCCUGAUGCAGCAACGCCGCGUGCGGGAUGACGGCCUUCGGGUUGUAAACCGAUUUCGCCUGUGACGAAGCGUGAGUGACGGUAAUGGGUAAAGAAGCACCGGCUAACUACGUG